UUUUUACCUUUGAUUUUUGUUACACAGAUAAUAAAAGCUUCCCAUGAUAAUCCCCUAAAUCAAGGAAAAAACAGGACUGUAAAGAGGGGAUCAGUUUGGUGUCCAUCAAAGUGAGCCUCAGAGAUCCUGACAAGAAGAUGAAUGAUGCUGAAGAGCUGCCUGUAAACAGCCUUGUGCAGAUGUGGU